UUUGAAGGAUGGACAUAAUAAUGUUUCAAUAGGUGAUACUGAACAAGUCAUUAUUUUUCACUGAAUAUUUAAAGGCAUCCUUUGGCAGAGAUUGAUCUGCAAAGCUUUUCCAGACAUCCUCAGCCGCUGUAUUUGUGGAUCUCUUAUGUAUGGGCACAACAUAUAAUACAGAAAGAUCUGUAAUUAGAGCAGCAUGAAACUAAAUGGUAUAAAUAGGAUAUUGUGUGUUCCUUUAGACUCAGCUAAUUAUAUCAGAAAGAAAAACAAAAAAAAAAAGUUUCUAAAAGAAUGCCAUAAAACAUGUUCUUACUGUAAGUACAUUACUGAAAGGGAUAUUUAUAAAACGCAGGAUAAAUCCUUAUCGUGAUAUAAUUACUCUUACUACACACACACACACACACACACGUGGAUUUAGGAUCAAAAAUGGCAGCUGCCCUUGAAACGUUAAAUCAGGAUUACUGCACUCUUUUAAGUGUGGAGAGGAAAGUCGUGGCGAAUGAGUGCAAAUAAAGCAUUUACUUUUUCAAGAUGACACUAUCACCCCCCCUUGUAAGAGUCAAUAAAGUGAGUGUGAGAAAUUAGAUGAGCCUCUGGAGAAGAAAACGGUGUCCAGCGUCCUCCUGCAACUAUGACAAAACUUGAGUCCAACAGCCUGAAACCGUUUACAAGUUGGUUGCUAGUUGUGUAUGCAUUGCAAUAAAUUUCACACCAUACUAGAA